GACGAACGCUGGCGGCGUGCUUAACACAUGCAAGUCGAACGGAAAGGCCCUGCUUUUGUGGGGUGCUCGAGUGGCGAACGGGUGAGUAACACGUGAGUAACCUGCCCUUGACUUUGGGAUAACUUCAGGAAACUGGGGCUAAUACCGGAUAGGAGCUCCUGCUGCAUGGUGGGGGUUGGAAAGUUUCGGCGGUUGGGGAUGGACUCGCGGCUUAUCAGCUUGUUGGUGGGGUAGUGGCUUACCAAGGCUUUGACGGGUAGCCGGCCUGAGAGGGUGACCGGCCACAUUGGGAUUGAGAUACGGCCCAGACUCGUACGGGAGGCAGCAGUGGGGAAUAUUGCACAAUGGGCGGAAGCCUGAUGCAGCAACGCCGCGUGCGGGAUGACGGCCUUCGGGUUGUAAACCGCUUUCGCCUGUGACGAAGCGUGAGUGACGGUAAUGGGUAAAGAAGCACCGGCUAACUACGUG
rnacentral:rRNA from 1 species